AUUCAGUUAAUGCUUACUCAUUCGACGGAAUGACGAGAGAGUUUAUAUAUUAUACAAGUUGUACAAAAGAGUGAGAGAGCAAACAACCACACUUAGAGAAGUAGAUCAGUAGAUCUUUAUUCCCUUUAUCACUCGUAAAGCUACCCACUUUUUUCCCAUUCUCUUACAGUUUCCGUCGCCAAAGGAGAAGCUCUUUGAAGUCCUCGUCGUCGUCAUUGGUGGUGAUGGAGUGCGGCGACUCCUCCCUCCUGCCGGAGACCCAACUGGCGGAGAAUAGGAGCCACCAGAACCACCACCACCAGCAGCGCCGCCGCACGUCCUUGUCGCUUCAGCCUGCGGCGACCGAGAGGUGCCGACCUUCUCCCAGUUCGCGCUCGCCGAGCUCAAGGCGGCCACCAAUGGGUUCAACCCGCAUAACGUCGUGUCGGAGAGCGGCGACAAGGCCCUCAGUGUCUUUUACACGGGCUGGCUGCAGAACCGCCGGUGGAUCGCCGUCAAGAAGUUCACCAGGACCGCCUCGCCCGAUCCCAAUCAGUUCUCUCAAUUCUUCACUCUUCCCCCUUAAUUUUUAUUUAUUUUGGGUUCCAUCUUGCCUUGUUGUUUCUUGAACGGUCGAUCGAUUUGUUCAUAGGUACAAGACAAAUGUUUUACUGGGAUUUGCAGGACGAGGCUUGGGGAGUCGGGAAAUUGAGGCACAGGCGGCUGGCGAAUUUGAUCGGCUACCGUUGCGAUGGCGAGGAGAGGCUUCUUGUGGCCGAGUAUAUGCCCAAUGAUACCCUUGCCAAGCAUCUCUUACGCUAUACGGGAAAAUCAAACUAUUGAACGGGCAAUGCGUCUGAGGGUUGCUUUCUAUAUUGCUGAAGCCUUGGAGUACUGCAGCAAUGAGGGACGGCCACUAUACCAUGACCUAAAUGCCUACAGAGUCCUUUUUUAUGAGAUUGAAACUCUCCACAUAUACUCAGGAUGGGGAUCCUCGGCUUUCAUGUUUUGGUCUUAUGAAGAACAGCAGGGAUCGCAAAAGUUAUAGCACAAACCUAGCAUAUACACCGCCAGAGUAUUUGGGAAAUGGAAGAGCAACUCCAGAGACUGUGAUGUUUAGCUUUGGUACUGUUGUUUUGGAUCUUCUCAGUGGAAAAUGCAUUCCGCCAACUCAUGUAUGCUUUUCUUUCAUUUUUUGCAGGGAGCGUUCGGGUAAGAGUGUAAGUCCCUUAUGGUACAUUAAAAUGCAAAAUUUAUUAGAUAUACUCUUGCUGCAUGUCUUAUGCUUGUUGAUAAAAUAUCCUCAUCAGCUCUGUGAGCACGGUAAAAUGUUGACAUGCUGUAGAUUCAAGUUAUAAAAUGUAUAGUGCUCCUAGAACUGUCAGAUGUUAAUAUUUCAGUAAUACAUUGAGAAGCAUAUACUAGAAUACAAGAAAUAUAUGAGAGAAGAGAGAGAGGAUACUUAUAAAUCCAUGUUGCUAAUUUACUAUAUGCAUUGAUAGAACAGUUUUGUUCACAUAUAAACAUGUGAUUAUUUUUAAUUUCUAAUGAGAAUAAGCUUCUUGCAGGCUCUUGACAUGAUAAGAGGUAAAACAUCUUAGUCUUAAUGGAUUCACAUUUGGAGGGAAAUUUCUCAAUUGAAGAGGCAACCACACUAGUUUACCUUGCUUCUCAGUGCUUCUUACAUUAUGAACCAAGGGAUCAACCCAACUCAAAGAAGCUGGUGGUGACACUUGGACCAUUGCAAACCAAAUUAGAGGUGCCAUCUUUCAUUAUGUUGGGUAUUGAGAAGCGUGAAGAAGCCCCUCCAGCUCCUCAUCAACCUCUUUCACCUAUGGGGGAAGCCUGCUCCAGAAUGGACCUUAUCGCCAUCCAUCAAAUUUUAGUAAUGACAUACUACAGAGUUGAUGAAGUAACUAAUGAGCUAUCAUUUCAGGAAUGGACACAACAGAUUAGGGAUAUGCAGGGAAGCGAGGUGAUUUUGCUUUCGGUGAUAAAGAUUUUAAGACAGCAAUCCAGUGUUACUCUCAGUUCAUAGAUGUGGGGGCGUUGAUCUCACCUACAAAAUAUGCAAGGCGAAGUCUGUGCCAUCUCAAGUGUGAUCAAGCCGAUGUGGCUUUGCGGGACGCGAUGCAGGCGCAAUGUCUUUACCCUGAUUGCGCUGGCCAAGCUGAACAUGCAGAACGACUCCCUCGACGUGUUGCAGGAAGCAGCGGCACUGGAAGAGAAGAGGCAGAAGAGUGGCAGAGGUCCACGAUGCAGCUCUUGUACGUUGUAGUAAUUGUAUCUUCUCACUAUGUGAAAUCUGUGAUCUGUCCUGGCAAGAUGUGUUGUAUAGUGUUUUGAUGGAAUCAAUCAAUGCAUUUGGUCUUGUGUGUGUAUGGCCAAUUAUUUCCUGUAAUUUUGUGGACAGAUCGCUUUCCAAUUCGAAGAUCUCCCAUCUGGCCUAUUUACAUCGA